rnacentral:rRNA from 1 species
ACAGAGGUAUUUUGAUCCUGGCUCAGAGCGAACGUUAGCGGCGCGCCUAACACAUGCAAGUCGCACGAGAAAGGGGCCUUCGGGCUUAUUGAGUAAAGUGGCGUCCGGGUGCGUAACACGUAGGUAAUCUCCCCUCCGGUGGGGAAUAUAUCCGCUCGAAAGGGCGGCUAAUACCGCAUGAGACCACGACUGCCACGGCAGACGCGGUUUAUAAGGUGGCCUCUCCAUGGAAGCUAUCGCCGGAGGAUGAGCCUGCGGCCCAUCAGCAAGUUGGUAGGGUAACGGCCUACCAAGGCAAAGACGAUGUAGCUGGUCUGAGAGGAUGAUCAGCCACCACUGGCACUGAAACACGGGCCAGACUCCUUCGGGAGGCAGCAGUGGGGAAUAUUGGACAAUGCGCACAAGCCUGAUCCAGCGACGCCGCGUGCGAGUGAUGAAGGCCUUCGGGUUGUAAAGCUCUGUGGGGAGGGACGAAAAAGGUCGGGAACAAUACCCCGGCCCUUGACGGUACCUCCUUAGCCAAGCACCGGCUAACUCUGUGCCAGCAUCCGCGGUAAGACAAUGGGUGCAAACGUUGCUCGAUAAUUACUGGGCGUAAAGCGCGUGUAGGCGGACAAUCAAGUCAGGUGUGAAAUCCCAUGGCUCUUCCCAGGAACUGCAUCUGAAACUGCGUGUCUACAGUGUCGGAGAGGGAAGCGGAAUUCCUGGUGUAGAGGUGAAAUUCGUAGAUAUCAGGAGGAACACAUCCUGGCGAAGGCGGCUUCCUGGACGACUACUAUCGCUGAGACGCGAAAGCGUGGGGAGCAAACAGGAUUAGAUACCCUGGUAGUCCACGCCGUAGGCGAUGGGUGCUAGGCUCAACGAUUUUGACCCCUGCGGUGCCGUAGCUAACGCGUUAAGCACUUCGCCUGAUGAGUACGGCCGCAAAUGCUAAAACUCAAAGGAAUUGACGGUGAAAACACAAGCGGUGGAGCAUGUGGUUUAAUUCGACGCAAAUGCGCAGAACCUUACCCGGGCUAGAAAAUGCCAGAACCCUGUAGAAAUACGGGGGUGCCCGCAAGGGAGCUGGUAUCAUAGUGCUGCAUGGCUGUCGUCAGCUCGUUUAUGAGGUGUUGGGUUAAGUCCCGCAACGGCAGUACGCAACCCCUGUCCUUAGUUGCCAGCAGUUCGGCUGGGCACUCUAAGGAGACUGCCGGCGUCAAGCCGGAGGAAGGUGGGGAUGACGUCAAGUCCUCAUGGCCCUUAUGUCCGGAUAUUACACACGUGCUACAAUGGCCGGAUAUUGCGCAGCUAACUCGCGAGAUUCAGGUGCCAAUCGCAAAAAGCCGACCUCAGUACGGAUUGCAGUCUGCAACUCGACUGCAUGAAGUCGGAAUCGCUAGUAAUCCCUGAUCAGCAGGCAGGGGUGAAUACGUUCCCGGGCCUUGUACAUAUCCGCCCGUCUUACCAUAUAUUUUAUCAGAAGACCCAGGGGUAGCCAGAG